rnacentral:rRNA from 1 species
GACGAACGCUGGCGGCGUGCCUAAUACAUGCAAGUUGAGCGCUGAAGGUUGGUACUUGUACCAACUGGAUGAGCAGCGAACGGGUGAGUAACGCGUGGGGAAUCUGCCUUUGAGCGGGGGACAACAUUUGGAAACGAAUGCUAAUACCGCAUAAAAACUUUAAACACAAGUUCUAAGUUUGAAAGAUGCAAUUGCAUCACUCAAAGAUGAUCCCGCGUUGUAUUAGCUAGUUGGUGAGGUAAAGGCUCACCAAGGCGAUGAUACAUAGCCGACCUGAGAGGGUGAUCGGCCACAUUGGGACUGAGACACGGCCCAAACUCCUACGGGAGGCAGCAGUAGGGAAUCUUCGGCAAUGGACGAAAGUCUGACCGAGCAACGCCGCGUGAGUGAGGAAGGUUUUCGGAUCGUAAAACUCUGUUGGUAGAGAAGAACGUUGGUGAGAGUGGAAAGCUCAUCAAGUGACGGUAACUACCCAGAAAGGGACGGCUAACUACGUG